rnacentral:rRNA from 1 species
GACGAACGCUGGCGGCGUGCCUAAUACAUGCGAGUCGAGCGGACUUGACAGAGCUUGCUCUGUUCAAGUUAGCGGCGGACGGGUGAGUAACACGUGGGCAACCUGCCCUGCAGAUUGAGAUAACUCCGGGAAACCGGGGCUAAUACCGAAUAAUAUUGCAAAGCCCAUGGUUUUCUUUUAAAAGGCGGCUUCGGCUGUUACUGCAGGAUGGGACCGCGGCGCAUUAGCUAGUUGGUGAGGUAACGGCUCACCAAGGCAACGAUGCGUAGCCGACCUGAGAGGGUGAUCGGCCACACUGGGACUGAGACACGGCCCAGACUCCUACGGGAGGCAGCAGUAGGGAAUCUUCCGCAAUGGAUGAAAGUCUGACGGAGCAACGCCGCGUGAGCGAAGAAGGUUUUCGGAUCGUAAAACUCUGUUGUUAGGGAAGAACAAGUAUCGGAGUAACUGCCGGUACCUUGACGGUACCUGACCAGAAAGCCACGGCUAACUACGUGCCAGCAGCCGCCGCGGUAA